GGUCGGUGGUGGAGUGGUCUAAACCAUUGGUUUUCGACCGCUACGACCCGGGUUCGAAUCCCGCAUUGAGCA
rnacentral:tRNA from 1 species